UCCGUAGGUGAACCUGCGGAAGGAUCAUUACCGAGUGAGGGCCCUCUGGGUCCAACCUCCCACCCGUGUUUAUUUUACCUUGUUGCUUCGGCGGGCCCGCCUUAACUGGCCGCCGGGGGGCUUACGCCCCCGGGCCCGCGCCCGCCGAAGACACCCUCGAACUCUGUCUGAAGAUUGAAGUCUGAGUGAAAAUAUAAAUUAUUUAAAACUUUCAACAACGGAUCUCUUGGUUCCGGCAUCGAUGAAGAACGCAGCGAAAUGCGAUACGUAAUGUGAAUUGCAAAUUCAGUGAAUCAUCGAGUCUUUGAACGCACAUUGCGCCCCCUGGUAUUCCGGGGGGCAUGCCUGUCCGAGCGUCAUUGCUGCCCUCAAGCCCGGCUUGUGUGUUGGGCCCCGUCCCCCGAUCUCCGGGGGACGGGCCCGAAAGGCAGCGGCGGCACCGCGUCCGGUCCUCGAGCGUAUGGGGCUUUGUCACCCGCUCUGUAGGCCCGGCCGGCGCUUGCCGAUCAACCCAAAUUUUUAUCCAGGUUGACCUCGGAUCAGGUAGGGAUACCCGCUGAACUUAAGCAUAUCAAUAAGCGGAGGA
rnacentral:rRNA from 2 species